UACGAAGGGGGCUAGCGUUAAUCGGAAUUACUGGGCGUAAAGCGUGCGCAGGCGGUUUUGUAAGUCAGAUGUGAAAUCCCCGGGCUUAACCUGGGAACUGCGUUUGAAACUACAAGGCUAGAGUGUGGCAGAGGGGGGUGGAAUUCCACGUGUAGCAGUGAAAUGCGUAGAGAUGUGGAGGAACACCGAUGGCGAAGGCAGCCCCCUGGGUUAACACUGACGCUCAGGCACGAAAGCGUGGGGAGCAAACAGG
rnacentral:rRNA from 1 species